UCAGGAAAAUAUGAGGAGUUGAUUGCUGAUUCUGAUGGUGAACUUGUUAGGCAAAUGAAUGCUCAUAGAAAAUCACUAGACCAAGUGAAUCCGCCCCAAGAAGACGAUUACAUCACAGCUGGACCCUGUCAAAUAAGUCAAAUUGAAGUCAUAGAAGAAAAAUAUGGAGAGCCCAUAUGCUAUAGCAAGCUCUUCGAAAGGAGUCAAGAAGAAGAAACAGAAACUGGUCGUGUCAAAUGGAGUGUUUACUCAACCUUUGUCACUGCAGCUUAUAGGGGAGCUCUUGUUCCUGUCAUCCUUCUCUGUCAAGUUCUCUUCCAGGGACUACAGAUGGGCAGCAAUUACUGGAUUGCUUGGGGAACAGAGGACAGUCACAAGGUCACCAG
rnacentral:lncRNA from 1 species